CGGACGGGUGAGUAAUGUCUGGGAAACUGCCUGAUGGAGGGGGAUAACUACUGGAAACGGUAGCUAAUACCGCAUAACGUCGCAAGACCAAGAGGGGGACCUUCGGGCCUCUUGCCAUCGGAUGUGCCCAGAUGGGAUCAGCUAGUAGGUGGGGUAACGGCUCACCUAGGCGACGAUCCCUAGCUGGUCUGAGAGGAUGACCAGCCACACUGGAACUGAGACACGGUCCAG
rnacentral:rRNA from 1 species